GCUAGUGUGACAGACAUAUACUAAAACUGGAACAAUACAGAGAAGAUCAGCAUGGCCCUGGCUGAAUGAUGACAAGCAAAUUUGCGAAGUAUUUCACAUUUUU